UGCUGCAGCAACGAGAGUGGGAGCACCUGGAGCGCGAGCUCGGAAGGAGAAUCCACGAGUUGUAAGAAAAUGGCAGACAAGCCGGACAUGGGGGAAAUCGCCAGCUUCGAUAAGGCCAAGCUGAAGAAAACCGAGACGCAGGAGAACACCCUGCCGACCAAAGAGACCAUUGAACAGGAAAAGAGGAGUGAAAUCUCCUAAAAGCAUAGGAAGAUUUCCCCACCCCACCCCACCCCCCCCCGUCAUCUCCAAGCCCCCCUCGUGAUGUGGAGAAAGACCCACCUGCAAGAUGGGCGGGAGCCACAAGCUGCACUGUGAAACCCGGGCACUCCGAGCCGAUGCCACCGGCCCGCGGGUCUCUGAAGGGGACCCCUCCACUAAUCGGACUGCCAAAUUUCACCGGUU